UCCCCCCCUCUUAUUACCAUUAUGGCCCCCACCCACCGCUCAGGGGUGGGGGCCGGGGGGGGAGGACAGUAGGCCCCCCCCCUCAUUAUCUUUAUGGCCCCCACCCACCGCUCAGGGGUGGGGGCCGGGGGGGGGGGGGACAAU